rnacentral:lncRNA from 10 species
CUGGGAUUCAGAUAUGCCAAAGAGAAGCCAUGAAGUGCAUCUUUUAAAUUAAAAGCCUACCUAUUCUCCCAGAGGGCAUGCAUUCUAUGGAGACAGAGCUGAAUGUGUGCCAUCAGAAGACCAAAAUCAAGCGACAUUUUAAAAAGAAAACAGACUCUUCUGGGAAAAAUGGUGACUCCACAAAGUAAGAAGCCACCAAGACUUGUAGGACAUUCCUUCAUCUUCUCCUGGAUGGGGCAACCCAGCCAUGGAUAUAUGCCUCCAAUCAGCAUAAAUGCCCAUUGCUUGAUAAAGUCAACACACGUGUAAGAUGACAUAUUGCAGGUAUCUGUCACAUCAAGCAAGGUUUGAAGAAGAAACAACUGGAGAAUUUUACUUAUGUGGAUGAAAAAGCAAACAGAAGUUAGUCCAGCAUGGAAGUCACAUGCUUUGGGAUUGUAGCAUUGUGUUCUCCUGUAGGAGGUGAUCCAUUGUCAUUUAUCGGAAUCCAUCUUCACUCAAAAGGAGCAGGUUGUAUUUUGAGUCCCUUCUCUUAAUGUCUUUUAGCAACAACAAGGGAGGAACACUUAUUCCCUACUCUUGAAGUUCCAGUCAUGAGAAUAGAGUCUCCCGAAGUACUGCUGGAUUCUUGUCCAACCGCUUUCCCUGCCUACAGAGGUGGGGACAGUGACUUGGCUGCUAAGUGGAAGCAGUAGGUCCACAUUUCUGAAGGAGGGAAGCUAAUCUAUCAAAGGACCUUGGGGGCCGGGUGCAGUGGCUCACACCUGUAACCCUAGCACUUUGGGAGGCCAAAGUGGGUGGAUCGCUUGAGCUCAGGAAUUUGAGACCAGCUUGCACAACAUAGCGAAAACCCAUAUCUAACAAAAAUACAAAAAUUAGCCAGGCAUAGUGGCAUGUGUCUGUGAUCCCACCUACUCAGGAGGCUGAGAUGGCAGGAUCGCUUGAGCCUGGGAGGCGGAGGUUGCAGUGAGCUGGGACAGUGCCUCUGCACUCCAGCCUGGGUGACAGAGUAAGACUCCAUCUCAAAAAAAAAAAAAAAAAACGAAAACAAAAAUAAAAAAGAACCUGGGGAGGGAGGAGGAAUUCGAUUUGGAAUGAAUUAAUUCAGUUCUUCCUACCUUCCCUCUCCACCUAGCAUAGUGGAAAACAGUAGCCUGGGUAGGUGUGACUCCUGUGCAAACCCAAACUUUCCCUCAAGUGGGCUCUCCCAUAGUCUG